AGCUAAUAGAUACCCGGGUAGUCCACGCCCUAAACGAUGUCUACUAGUUGUUGGUGGAGUAAAAUCCAUGAGUAAACGCAGCUAAACGCGUGAAGUAGACCGCCUGGGGAGUACGGUCGCAAGAUUAAAAACUCAAAGGAAUUGACGGGGGCCCGCACAAGCGGUGGAUUAUGUGGAUUAAAUUCGAUGCAACGCGAAAAACCUUACCUGGCCUUGACAUGCCACUAACGAAGCAGAGAUGCAUUAGGUGCCCGUAAGGGAAAGUGGACACAGGUGCUGCAUGGCUGUCGUCAGCUCGUGUCGUGAGAUGUUGGGUUAAGUCCCGCAACGAGCGCAACCCUUGCCAUUAAUUGCCAUCAUUUAGUUGGGCACUUUAAUGGGACUGCCGGUGACAAACCGGAGGAAGGUGGGGAUGACGUCAAGUCCUCAUGGCCCUUAUGGCCAGGGCUUCACACGUAAUACAAUGGUCGGUACAGAGAGUUGCCAACCCGCGAGGGGUAGCUAAUCUCAGAAAGCCGAUCGUAGUCCGGAUUGUUCUCUGC
rnacentral:rRNA from 1 species